UACGGGGGGGGCAAGCGUUGUUCGGAAUUACUGGGCGUAAAGCGCGCGUAGGCGGUUUUGCAAGUCGGAUGUGAAAUCCCCGGGCUUAACCUGGGAACUGCAUUCGAGACUGCAUUGCUAGAGUAUGGGAGAGGGAAGUGGAAUUUCAGGUGUAGCGGUGAAAUGCGUAGAUAUCUGAAGGAACAUCAGUGGCGAAAGCGACUUCCUGGACCAAUACUGACGCUCAUGUGCGAAAGCGUGGGGAGCAAACAGG
rnacentral:rRNA from 1 species